rnacentral:snRNA from 1 species
GUGCUCACUUCGACAGGACAGAUAUCAAAAUUGGAAUGAUACAUAGAAGAUUAGAAUGACCCCUGUGCAAGAAUGACACANACAUUUGUGAAAUGUUCCAUUUUUUU